rnacentral:sRNA from 1 species
UAGUCCAAACAGACAAACAAAAGUGCUU